GUCAGACUACCACCGCAGCCGUCAGACAUGGCUACUGCUUUUUCCUGCAACUUCAAUAAAUCAUCGGGUGUUGAAGAACGAUCGUUGACUGCUCAUCGGAUUUCGGAAGACCCAACUCGUUUCAGGUAGCUGUUAAUCGUAUAAAUUCUGUAUAAUUCAUUGAACUUUAACAAGCUAUCCUUUAAAAGGUUUAACGCUCACCGUGUAAAAUGAAUAUUGACCAAUAUAAAAGGUUUAACGCUCUUGCGUUGGGAUUCAGUCGAAUCUGAAAAAUUUGGAUAUUUUUUUGGUAAAGUUAAUCAGGAUUCAUAUGUUUUCUAUAUUUUACAUUGGGUAUUCUUUCUGUAGGUGUUUUAAUAAAAGUUUUUUCAAUUACACACAAAUCUUCAAGUAGUUUAGUUCAUAUACAUACAACUUGUCCAAAGUUUAUACUUAUAAAAUUUUGUAGGGGCUAUCCCCUUGUCAUCGAAUUAAACACAAGCAACUUCUAAGAAUCUAAUCAGAAAACUUGAAUCAAAUUGGCAUUGAUUUUAAGGGCUUAACAACUUAACAUUCUAUGUUAUUUCAUUUUUAGGGCAAUGGUCAUAAGCCAUCUCCGUGUGGAGAACCUGAAGGCUGAUGAUCAUAACCAUAAAGAUGAUGGUUAGGGUGAGGUGGCACUACAAGAAAACAUAGCAUUAGGGGCGGCAUCUUUAGGGUUAACUGCUGCAUUUUUUGAUAAAUAGGUUUAGAGAGUAGUUGAAGUUAGAGGUGCACAAAUCGGGUUAGGGUUUGAACCCGAAUCGGCUUCAAACUGCUUUGAAGUGAAGCUUAAAAAAGUCAUGGGUUAAUACAGGUUUAGGAUGCUAAAACAGGCACCAACUUAUUCUUCUUUGAAGGACAUGAUGCACCUGUUAGUUCUAUAUGCCGCAUAGCAAAGAUAACGUUCAGUAUAUAUCUUUUCAACGGCUACCAAUAGAAAGAUCAAGGCGUGGUUACAUGUUGAUCAAGUUUCAAAAAUUGAUUAUGAAACCCCUGGUUACAUCUGGACGAAAUGGCAUACAAUACUGAUGGGUCAUGUAACGCUUAGCAUUUCUGUAUAGUCCAUAUUUAGACGAAAUGGCAUACAAUACUGAAGCUUAAAGAAGUCAUGGGUUAAUAAAGGUUUAGGAUGCUAAAACAAGCACUAACUUAUUCAUCUUUGAAGGACAUGACGCACCUGUUAGUUCUAUAUGCCGCAUAGCAAAGAUAACAUUCAGUAUAUAUCUUUUCAACGACUAUCAAUAGAAAGAUCAAGGCAUGGUUACAUGUGGAUCGAGUUUCAAAAAUUGAUUAUGAAACCAAUGGUUAUGUCUGGACGAAAGGGCAUACAAUACCGAUGGGUCAUGUAACGCUUCGCAUUUCUGUAUAAUCCAUAUUUAGAAAAUUGUAUUCACAUUUAUAUAUAUAGAAACUUAUACUCGUAUUUCAUUUCCAAUCUUGUAAUCCGAGACUUCGAUCAUAAUAAGAAAAUCGUAUUUAUAUUAA